AGUUGUAUCCUGGCUCAGGAUGAACGCUAGCGGUAUGCCUAACACAUGCAAGUCGUACGAGGGUUUCAUACCCAAGUGGCGGACGGGUGAGUAACACGUGAGAAUUUGCCCUAAGGAGGGGGAUAACAACUGGAAACGGUUGCUAAAACCCCAUAUGCUUCCGAGUGAAAUAGAUUUAUCUGCCUUAGGAGAAGCUCGCGGCUGAUUAGCUAGUUGGUAAGGUAAUGGCUUACCAAGGCGACGAUCAGUAUCUGGUUUGAGAGGACGAUCAGACACACUGGAACUGAGACACGGUCCAGACUCCUACGGGAGGCAGCAGUGGGGAAUUUUCCGCAAUGGGCGAAAGCCUGACGGAGCAAUACCGCGUGAAGGAAGACGGCCUAUGGGUUGUAAACUUCUUUUUUCAGGGAGGAACUCAAUGACGUGUACCUGAAGAAUAAGCAUCGGCUAACUCCGUGCCAGCAGCCGCGGUAAGACGGAGGAUGCAAGUGUUAUCCGGAAUCACUGGGCGUAAAGCGUCUGUAGGUGGUUUAAUAAGUCGACUGUUAAAUCUUGAGGCUUAACCUCAAAAUCGCAUUCGAAACUAUUAGACUUGAGUAUAGUAGAGGUAAAGGGAAUUCCCAGUGGAGCGGUGAAAUGCGUAGAUAUUGGAAAGAACACCGAUGGC
rnacentral:rRNA from 1 species